GACGAACGCUGGCGGCGUGCUUAACACAUGCAAGUCGAACGGAAAGGCCCUGCUUUUGUGGGGUGCUCGAGUGGCGAACGGGUGAGUAACACGUGAGUAACCUGCCCUUGACUUUGGGAUAACUCCAGGAAACUGGGGCUAAUACCGGAUAGGAGCUCCUGCUGCAUGGUGGGGGUUGGAAAGUUUCGGCGGUUGGGGGUGGACUCGCGGCUUACCAGCUUGUGGGUGGGGUAGUGGCUUACCAGGGCUUUGACGGGUAGCCGGCCUGAGAGGGUGACCGCGCACAUUGGGCCUGAGGUAGGGCGCAGACUGCUACGGGAGGCAACAGUGGGGAAUAUUGCACAAUGGGCGGGAGCCUGAUGCGGCGGCGCCGCGGGCGGGAUGACGGCCUUCGGGUUGUAAACCGCUUUCGCCUGUGACGAAGCGUGAGUGACGGUAAUGGGUAAAGAAGCACCGGCUAACUACGUG
rnacentral:rRNA from 1 species